CGGGACGGGGUGGAGUAAUGUCUGGGAAACUAGCCUGAUGGAGGGGGGUAACUACUGGAAACGGUAGCUAAUACCGCAUAACGUCGCAAGACCAAAGAGGGGGACCUUCGGGUCUCUUGCCAUCGGAUGUGCCCAGAUGGGAUUAGCUAGUAGGUGGGGUAACGGCUCACCUAGGCGACGAUCCCUAGCUGGUCUGAGAGGAUGACCAGCCACACUGGAACUGAGACACGGUCCAG
rnacentral:rRNA from 1 species